UUUAUACAUUAUAUACCUUACAUUUGUUCUAAUACAUAAAUUCUUUAUUAUUGUAUCAAAGAACUUUAAACAGAGCUGAAAUAAAUCUUACAUAUAU